CCUACGGGAGGCAGCAGUGGGGGAUAUUGCACAAUGGGGGAAACCCUGAUGCAGCGACGCCGCGUGGGUGAAGAAGCGCCUCGGCGCGUAAAGCCCUAUCAGCAGGGAAGAAAAUGACGGUACCUGAAGAAGAAGCCCCGGCUAACUACGUGCCAGCAGCCGCGGUAAUACGUAGGGGGCAAGCGUUAUCCGGAUUUACUGGGUGUAAAGGGGGCGCAGACGGCGGUACAAGCCAGGAGUGAAAGGCCGGGGCUCAACCCCGGGACUGCUCUUGGAACUGCGUGGCUGGAGUGCAGGAGGGGUAGGUGGAAUUCCUGGUGUAGCGGUGAAAUGCGUAGAUAUCAGGAGGAACACCAGUGGCGAAGGCGGCCUGCUGGACUGUAACUGACGUUGAGGCUCGAAAGCGUGGGGAGCAAACAGGAUUAGAUACCCGAGUAGUC
rnacentral:rRNA from 1 species